UACGGGCAUAGUAUAAAGGUAGUACAAAGGUCUCCAAAACCUUUGGUGUGGGUUCAAUUCCUGCUGCCCGUGU
rnacentral:tRNA from 5 species